GGGUGCGAGCGUUAAUCGGAAUACUGGGCGUAAGCGAGCGCAGACGGUUACUUAAGCAGGAUGUGAAAUCCCCGGGCUCAACCUGGGAACUGCGUUCUGAACUGGGUGACUAGAGUGUGUCAGAGGGAGGUAGAAUUCCACGUGUAGCAGUGAAAUGCGUAGAGAUGUGGAGGAAUACCGAUGGCGAAGGCAGCCUCCUGGGAUAACACUGACGUUCAUGCUCGAAAGCGUGGGUAGCAAACAGGAUUAGAUACCCUGGUAGUCAAGGGCG
rnacentral:rRNA from 1 species